CCUACGGGAGGCAGCAGUGGGGAAUAUUGGACAAUGGGGGAAACCCUGAUCCAGCGACGCCGCGUGAGUGAAGAAGUAUUUCGGUACGUAAAGCUCUAUCAGCAGGAAAGAAAAUGACGGUACCUGACUAAGAAGCCCCGGCUAACUACGUGCCAGCAGCCGCGGUAAUACGUAGGGGGCAGGCGUUAUCCGGAUUUACUGGGUGGAAAGGGAGCGUAGACGGCAGCGCAAGUCUGGAGUGAAAUGCCGGGGCCCAACCCCGGAACUGCUCUGGAAACUGUGAAGCUGGAGUGCAGGAGAGGUAAGCGGAAUUCCUGGUGUAGCGGUGAAAUGCGUAGAUAUCAGGAGGAACACCGGCGGCGAAGGCGGCUUACUGGACUGUAACUGACGUUGAGGCUCGAAGGCGUGGGGAGCAAACAGGAUUAGAUACCCUGGUAGUC
rnacentral:rRNA from 1 species